UAUUAAUCCAGAAACACACAUAUACAUAUAUGUGUAUAUAUAUGUGUAUAUAUAUAUGUAUGUAUAUAUGUAUAUGUGUGUUUCUGGAUUAAUAUUCCACCC